GUUCCUGCUCUCCUUCUGAAUGCUCUAAAUUUCAUGAGUAGAUUUCUUUCAGUGUUUUUGAAUAAACUGAACAAAAAAAAAAGCAAAAUGAAAGCACCUGUCCGAGCAACACACAGGAUUCCUUUACAGACAAAGAAGAGGACUAGAGCUCACUCCAAUCUCAUCUACAGAGCUCAUAAAGAGGUCAGUCCAACUGGAAUGAGGAGUCCAGACUUCCUGGCCAGUCGGCUCAGUUGUCCCAAACCAGUCGUGCUCAGACUGGUGAGCUCAGAGGCUUCCAGGCUGUCAAAAACCAACAGACUGAAAGUCAUCACUCUGCAGGAGAUCAAUGCUGCCGUCACACAUGUGCAACAGAGGAUUUGUACGAGAGCUGCCGCAUAAAAGAGCUGGACUUGAGGAAGACAAGAAUUUUAUAAAUGUUAUCAUUAAAGAGAUUUUAAUUUUUAA